rnacentral:rRNA from 1 species
GUCGCUACCCGGAACUGAGCCACUUCGAGAAGCACACGGACUGCUGACUUCGGGUCUUCACGGGCUUGCAAGUCGGUGGAAAGUGGUCUAAUCGCAGUGGCUUGAACCGGGUAA